GACCUCAGUGGUGUAGUGGUAGCACGCGCCUCGGAUGUGUGAAACGCGGGUUCAACUCUCGCUGAGAUUG